UGGAAGUCGUCGAGAAAAUUGUUGUGUUCAAAGAUCACGAUAAUAAUUAUUGGCUGGAUGCAGAUGGUUCAGUGCCAUUCCCAGAAAAUUCGGUGGUGUACCGUAGAAGCACCGAUUUUCCUGAGAGGUAUUUUGCAGACCAGGAGUUAACAGUGGAAUGGGCUCUCGAGUGGCUACCACGAACAGUUGAAGUAUACCCUCGCAGGGUACUUGGGAAACCAGUCUUUGCCUAUCAGAACUUUCCUGCUGUCUCCUCCGGAACCACAUCGCCUUCUCAUGCUACCAUGUCACCCACAUGCUCUUCCUACUUGCUUAAAUCCAGUUCUUCCCUCAACAUCCACUUCACCAUCUUCCUUGGUAUCUACACCAAUUACUUCCCCAGAGCGGGUUGUUGGUGUAGAACCAAGUGAAAUCGAGGAAGCCGAGGGUUUCACUAAAAAUGAAACCAAAUUUUUUAUAAAUCUUAUGCAGGAAUAUCUGCAAAAGAAUUAUAACCCAUUGCCUUCCUCGAUAGCAGAGUUGCAGGAAAGGAUUAAUUUAACAAAAGGGAAGAAAAGGUUGCUUUAGCAGAAAUUGGCCCAGAGGAUGACGGUGAUUUUUGGGAAGAGAUUCCAUCCUGAGAAACUUCAGCGUAAGUGGAAGGGUCUACAGGAUGACUUUAAGAAGGCGAAAGCCAAUAAUGAAAUGUCUGGGAGAGGUCCCAGUAAAUUUCAGUUUUCAAGGAGAUGAAGUAACUGAUAGGGGGUCAGCAUGAUAUUGACUUUCCAGUAACAGCCACAGCCAAGGGGAUUCACAUUCAUCGACCAGAUGAAUUGGAUGAAGACCUUGAUGACCCUGACCCUGUGGCUAGUGCUGACCCUGUGGCUGAUCCCAUACCUGGACCCUCACACUUGGAAGUGCCACCACCAGCACGGAGACAAAGGAAGAGGCGACAGGCCAAGGAGAGUGAGACGGUAGUCUUUUUGAGGGAGAGUGACCAGCGUCACUAUGAAAUUAUGAGAGAAGUUUUAGAUGAAAUUAUGAGAGAAGUUUUAGAGCUCAUGAAGAGGAUGCGAGAGGAAGUUGUGGAUGUGCUCUCUGAAAUAGUUAAGAAGAUGUGAUAUAUUUUCAA
rnacentral:misc_RNA from 1 species